CAGAGGUGGGGGUCAUUCAUGUGCAAGUCACAAGCAAGUCUCAAGUCAUAACCUUCAAGUCUCAAGCAAGUCCCAAGUCACUGUGGUGAGAAUCAAGCAAGUCACAAGUCAAGUCAUUGCUCAGGUCAAGCAAGUCACAAGUCAAGUCAUACAAAAAUCUGAUGAUCUAACCCAGUUUCCACAUUUAAAAAUCGGUAAAGAGAGUGGUUCAUAAGUUGAGUUUUAUUUCAACAUUAACAAUAACAAUGUCUUAACAAUAACAAUAACUCAAACUAUUCAAAACAUUCCAAAACCAUUAUGUGCAUAGUUUGAAAAUGUUUUUUAUGAUCAUUACCUCCAACCUAUGAACAGAAUCAAAUAUAACCUCUAGGUAGCUGUAUACGACAACAGUUCAAGUCAAUCACUCAAUCUCCCUACAUGUUGUAGAAUAUUAUUUGCAACACAUGGCAUCAGACAUGAAAAAAAAUAAUAUUUCAAAAGUAAUUUCACAUACACAUACUGUAGGAAGGGGAAAUAGUAAUACACAAGCCUGAAAGCUGGUAGCAAUCUUGCUGCCUC